AAGAAUUCAAUACUCAUAGGUGAAUAUUUGAACCGACGAUUAACACGGCAUUCUGUUCAUGGAGUUCUUAAAACUCUGAAAUGUAUUCUCAACUUGGUUAACAGAGGAUCCAGGAGCUACAGAAUAUAUCUAAGGAAACAUGAUGAACAUAUAAAGAACGCCCCGGAAUUUGCAACACAAAAGAACGCUUAUUCUGGGACCGCUCUUUUAG